UACGGAGGGUGCAAGCGUUGUCCGGAAUCACUGGGCGUAAAGGGCGCGUAGGCGGCUCAUGAAGCUGCGGUGAAAGUCCGGGGCUCAACCUCGGAUCGGCCGUGGCGACUCGUGGGCUGGAGCACUGUAGAGGCGGGUGGAAUUCCGGGUGUAGCGGUGGAAUGCGUAGAGAUCCGGAAGAACACCAGUGGCGAAGGCGGCCCGCUGGGCAGUGGCUGACGCUGAGGCGCGACAGCGUGGGGAGCAAACGAGGAUU
rnacentral:rRNA from 1 species